rnacentral:rRNA from 1 species
UUUUAGCUCUCGCUAUUAGAUGAGCCUAAGUCGGAUUAGCUGGUUGGUGGGGUAAAGGCCUACCAAGGCGACGAUCUGUAGCUGGUCUGAGAGGAUGAUCAGCCACACUGGGACUGAGACACGGCCCAGACUCCUACGGGAGGCAGCAGUGGGGAAUAUUGGACAAUGGGCGAAAGCCUGAUCCAGCCAUGCCGCGUGUGUGAAGAAGGCCUUUUGGUUGUAAAGCACUUUAAGUGGGGAGGAAAAGCUUAUGGUUAAUACCCAUAAGCCCUGACGUUACCCACAGAAUAAGCACCGGCUAACUCUGUGCCAGCAGCCGCGGUAAUACAGAGGGUGCAAGCGUUAAUCGGAAUUACUGGGCGUAAAGCGCGCGUAGGUGGUUAUUUAAGUCAGAUGUGAAAGCCCCGGGCUUAACCUGGGAACUGCAUCUGAUACUGGAUAACUAGAGUAGGUGAGAGGGGAGUAGAAUUCCAGGUGUAGCGGUGAAAUGCGUAGAGAUCUGGAGGAAUACCGAUGGCGAAGGCAGCUCCCUGGCAUCAUACUGACACUGAGGUGCGAAAGCGUGGGUAGCAAACAGGAUUAGAUACCCUGGUAGUCC